rnacentral:tRNA from 1 species
UACUCCGUAGCUCAGUGGUUAGAGCUUCCGACCGGUGUACAGAAGGUCAUGGGUUUGAUUCCCGUUGGGGACUCAG